GGCCCCAUCGUCUAACGGUUAGGACACCACUCUUUCAAGGUGGUAAUAGGGGUUCGAUUCCCCUUGGGGCUA
rnacentral:tRNA from 1 species